AGUUCUUCCACUUUAAUUUUGAGGUGUCUGAGUUCCUGUAGCAAACCCUGCAAAGGAAAAACAGGAUAAUGGAACACAGAAAACCCUGAGAGGUCAGAAAGCAAGAAGCAGCAAGCUGAAGCCCCUCCUUCAAUCUAAUGCAGUUUCCAGAGAAAGAAAACAAGCCUGACAGAGGGAGUCAGCUUCCUGAUCUCAGCUGAGGUUUAGAGGCCCAACUGUACAAGAGACCAUGGAAAUAAACAUAGCACUAAUUUACGCAAAGCAAGGAGUACUUACCAAUCAAAUGCCAAAACACACUUUCAAACUAUGGAAUACUGAACUACCUAUAAGCUUAGCAUCUUUAGUAGUUAAGCUGCGAUAACCUUCGUCUCUGAUAUUUUUGAAAAUAUUUUAAUCAAAUAUAUACAUCAACAAACAGAACCGAAAGGUAUCUGAAGAAAUCAUGUGAUUUGUUAUUCUGCCUUGGAACAGAUGAUUAAUUACAAUUCUUGUUUUGUCUGCUUCUAAAAUCUCUAGAAAUGAAAAACAGGUACCAGUCUC